rfam:Halalkalicoccus jeotgali B3, complete genome.
GAACGGACUAGGUCGGGCAGUUAGGCCCUGCUCGUCACCCGCGCUACGGUCUUCAGCGGGGACCGAACCCCGGGCGCGUCCGGUCCGACCGGCGCGGGCCCCGGGAGCCAACUGAGAAGCCUCGUCCGUCGGGGACAGCGGUCCGCGGCGAGCGUCCGCAGGGACGUGUCGUCGCGGUUGGUCGAUGGAAAUCCGUCAGGCACGGAAGUGAGCAGCGGGCCAUCGGACACCUGUCGCUCGACGGAUCGCGGGGUGGAGGAGGCAACCGGGACUCCCCGCGCCGGAACGCCGGGCAACCCCGGGCGUCCACCA